rnacentral:lncRNA from 1 species
AUGGUAUUGAGGCCUCUCUUUGCAGCAACUUGAUAAUUCAUUUGAGCUUAAAAACUUCAGUGAUCUUAAUACUCUUAGCUCUCAAUUCUCUUUCUAAACUUGAGUGAAAUUUGUAGUGAGAUUUAAUCUUGUAAAAAGAGAGAAAAGUAAAGUCUUGAAGCUUGAAGAAGAAGGUUUUGGUGUGAAGGCUUGGUGCUUGCCCGUAAAAGCAUCAUCUAGUGGAGAUCUAACAUUCUCGAGUGUUGAGAAGUUGGCGGGGACGUAGACAAAGUGUCGAACCUCGAAACAAAUUGAUCGUAUGCUUUUCAAGUUUGCAUUUCUUUUAUUUCCAUCGGAUUUUUGAUUUGCUUGAUUAUUUGGAUUUUUAUUUUAGAAACCUAAUUCACCCCCCCUCUUAGGUUGUCAUUUUGAUCCUCAAUUAGAAAUGAAAAAAUAUAUAAAAAUAUUUAAUGCAUAUAAAAAAAAUAUAGAAUAUUACAAAUACUUUCUAAUAAAAUAUAAAAUGUACAAAUUAUAAAUUUUUAAAUAAAUAUAAUGUGCAAAUUUAUAUUUAUUAAAAUAAAUUAAUUGUUAUGUGCAUUUGCACGUACACUCAACUAGUUACUGUAAAUAAGUGAUAAAGUAAUAACUGCAUAGUUAUAUUUAUUAUGGUAACAAGUAAGGAUGAUUAAUAUUUGUUUCAAAGUUUAUGAUAAUUCAUCUAAAUUUCCAUUGAGCUAGACUGGUGUACUAUCUGUACUACCAAGUUAUGUUUCAAUGAUACGAUUUUCAAAUCGACGAUCAGCUCCGUUAGACUUCAUCUACACUAUUAAAAGUAUUUAAAAACUAAAUUUUAUAAUUUUUCAACAUCAUUUACUUAUCAAAUGAAUAGUCUAAAAAAAAGGCUAGAAAUAAAAAUCUCAUAAAAAAUGAUGAUAAAAGACUUAAAUUUAAGAUCAGAGAUACUGAUCUUACUCUAAAUAGUAAAAAAAAAAAAUUCUAUAUAAACUUCAUCAGAUUUGAAUUGUUUUACACUGUUAAAUUCACGAACGCAUCACAUCGAUCAUUAAAAUUAUCAAUUUUGAGAUUUUUUGAUCGCUAGCCAAAUGAUGUCGAAAAAUUAUAAAAUCUAGUUUUCAAAUACUUUUAAUAGUGUAGAUCAAAUCAAAUGAAACCGAUCGUCGAUUUGAAAACUAUAUUAUUAAAAACAACUUGAUAGCACAGAGGCCUCCGUGUUACCGAUAGUAUACCAGCCUAGCUCCACACACACAUAUAUCUAAAAUAGUACUACACUAUCAUCUGAGAAUCUACUA